rnacentral:rRNA from 2 species
CAUAUCAUUAAGCGGAGGAAAAGAAACUAACAAGGAUUCCCCCAGUAACGGCGAGUGAAGCGGGAAGAGCUCAAGCUUAAAAUCUCCAUACUUGUAUGGCGAAUUGUAGUCUAUUGAGGCUGUUGUCAGCAUCGCGAUUGGGGACAAGUCCCUUGGAAAAGGGCAGCAUGGAGGGUGAUACUCCCGUCUCUGCUCCAAUCUGCGGUGUGUACGAUACGCUUUCUUUGAGUCGAGUUGUUUGGGAAUACAGCUCAAAGUAGGUGGUAAAUUCCAUCUAAAGCUAAAUAUUGGUGCGAGACCGAUAGCGAACAAGUACCGUGAGGGAAAGAUGAAAAGAACUUUGAAAAGAGAGUUAAAGAGUACCUGAAACUGUUGAAAGGGAACCGUAUCGUUUCCAGUGUUGUAUCCUAUGCAUAUUUCAUUCGUGGAGUAAUUUACGGGUGCCCUGUGCAUGGGUGUGACGUCAGGGUCAGUUUGUAUGCUGCGGGAGAUGGUCAGUGAGGAGGUGCGUCACUUCGGUGAAAGUUAUAUCUCGCUGUCUAGUAGCCGUGGUUGAGACUGAGGUGCCUACAACAUGCCUUAAGGUUCUAUGUUGUCUCGUGUUGGUGACUGCUUUGAUAGCUUGCUAUGUCUGUGGUUUAUUAAUGCGAUUGAUGAUGUGGAUAACUUUUGCUGUUCGGGACUCUGGCGAAAUGGAGCGAUAC